UUUAAUUUGAAUUCAGUUGAUAUGAAUAAUAAGGACAUAUUACUAAAAGAAUGUGGUAUUUUGCCGUCCAGUUCUGAUAAUAGGGAAAUUUGUUCCACACAUUUUUCUCAGCCGUUGAAACAAAACAGUGACUGAGUGAUGUACGAAGAAGAAAUUUGGUGUCAAAUGCCAUUCCUUAUUUUAAAAAAAUCUGGUGAAUCAUAAUUCAUUCCAUGAGAAGCAGAAAUCCAACAGACUGAUCCCAGUCAAUGGUGUACUCAAAAUACACAGAGGCUAGAGGACUUGUUCUUCCUGGAACCUCUCUAUGUACCAGCCUGUCUCAUGAAGUUGAAUGCUCAAACAAUAUGAAGAGGAUGUCCGAUGAAAAUCUAGCCGACAAUCAAAACAGGAAAUAUGAUCAGGCUCAGCCACACCUUUAUGAACAUAAAGAGCUACUUCAUUCAAG